rnacentral:tRNA from 1 species
GGGUGAUUAGCUCAGCUGGGAGAGCACCUCCCUUACAAGGAGGGGGUCGGCGGUUCGGUCCCGUCAUCACCCACCA